AGGAGCUUGCUCCUCUGAUCAGUGGCGAACGGGUGAGUAACACGUGAGCAACCUGCCCCAGACUCCGGGAUAACAGUUGGAAACAGCUGCUAAUACCGGAUACGAGACGGAGAGGCAUCUCUACCGUCUGGAAAGUUUUUCGGUCUGGGAUGGACUCGCGGCCUAUCAGCUAGUUGGUGAGGUAAUGGCUCACCAAGGCGACGACGGGUAGCCGGCCUGAGAGGGCGACCGGCCACACUGGGACUGAGACACGGCCCAGACUCCUACGGGAGGCAGCAGUGGGGAAUAUUGCACAAUGGGCGAAAGCCUGAUGCAGCGACGCCGCGUGAGGGAUGACGGCCUUCGGGUUGUAAACCUCUUUCAGCAGGGAAGAAGCGAAAGUGACGGUACCUGCAGAAGAAGCACCGGCUAACUACGUGCCAGCAGCCGCGGUAAUACGUAGGGUGCGAGCGUUGUCCGGAAUUAUUGGGCGUAAAGAGCUUGUAGGCGGUUUGUCGCGUCUGCAGUGAAAAUCCGAGGCUCAACCUCGGACUUGCUGUGGGUACGGGCAGACUAGAGUAUGGUAGGGGAGACCGGAAUUCCUGGUGUAGCGGUGGAAUGCGCAGAUAUCAGGAGGAACACCGAUGGCGAAGGCAGGUCUCUGGGCCAUAACUGACGCUGAGAAGCGAAAGCAUGGGGAGCGAACAGGAUUAGAUACCCUGGUAGUCCAUGCCGUAAACGUUGGGCGCCAGGUGUGGGGCUCAUUCCACGAGCUCCGUGCCGCAGCUAACGCAUUAAGCGCCCCGCCUGGGGAG
rnacentral:rRNA from 1 species